CGAAGUAGAGCUUGAUUAGUUAAGCGUUUCAUUUACACUGAAGAGUUAUCUGUGCAAUUCAGUUUACUUUGA
rnacentral:tRNA from 1 species